UGUUUGUUGAACCAUUUAUAAUAAAUAAUUUCUGCCCAGUGAAUUUAUUUUUAACGGCCGCGGUAUCUUGACCGUGCAAAGGUAGCAUAAUCACUUGCCUUUUAAUUGAAGGCUAGAAUGAACGGAUAAACAUAAUUAAUACUUUAUUUCAUAUUGUUAUAAAAAUUAUUCCUCAGGUGAAGAAACCUGAAUUUUAUAAAAAGACAAAAAGACCCUAUCAAGCUUUAUAUUCUUACUAACCUUUAUUUAAGAAUAUUUGGUUGGGGCGACUAAUGAGAGUUUACCUUCCCUCAUAAUUAUAAAGAUCUAUGCUUCUUCUUAUUUAAUAUUAUAAUAUAAAAAAGCUACUGUAGGGAUAACAGGCUUAUAUUUUCCUAGAGUUCAAAUUAAAGAAAAUGAUUGGCACCUCGAUGUUGGCUUAGGGAACCUUUCUCCUGCAGAAGAGAGACAUAGGAAGUUUGUUCAACUUUUAAACCCCU
rnacentral:rRNA from 1 species